CACAGUCUGCGCUAGCAGUUAGCAAAUGUUGGGCUAGAAUGUCUGUACAUCUCCGCCUUGCCUCCUUUUAUUGUCGUCAAAACGAGAAUCAAGAUGUUUCUGAAAUCUCGCUUUAAUUAGUUCGUUUGUUCUGCUUGUUUGUGCAGGUUGAAACACCCGUUUAUCACCAUGGUCACAGAAGAUGGAAGUUUACGGCUGCGGCGGUGAUUGUUAUGUGAUUGGGAGAUAGGCUUAACUGGAGUCAUGGAGCAACGGCGCAGAAAACUCCCAGGCUACUAAAGCCACCUUGAGCCAGUGGCAUUUCGGUGCUCAUCCUGAGACCUUGAAGAACAAAGCUAUGGAGCACAUAAGAACGCUCUCGGCCUCGCUGCUUUUACCCGGCUACAUUCGAAUCCCCUGCUCUCACCAGUUAUGCGUGUUAAGUUCUAAGAGCCAGGAAACUUACAAGAGAAGUUAUGGUCUGAAGACUGGAAAUCCAAGAAGAGCUAAGGUUUCAAUCUGAAACUGAAGGAAAAUGAAAGCAACUAUCUUCGACUUAAAAGGCCAGUUGUGAUUCCCCCUUACUUGGGGGUUGGUUGGUCAUUUUGUUCUAUUCAGACUUGAUUGCAUGAGAGGCACCCACACUGAAGAAUAUCAUCUCAUUUACUCCAGAGGCCUAUUUUCAUGCUAAUCCAAACACCCCAUCAGAAAUAAUCAGAAUAUGACAAUUGUUCCUUAUCCACAUGGAGUCAUUGAUCUGCUA